ACUGUGCCUAGAGUUAA
rnacentral:piRNA from 1 species